rnacentral:lncRNA from 1 species
UCCGAAGUCUUGGACCAAGGUGUGGCCCACUCAAUGGACUGGGACUCAGGGUUGUAGAAGUCCACCCAUCUUUUGCUUUCCACCCAACCCAUGAGCAAGAGCUGAGUGCCAAGCAGUGAGCCAAAGGAGAAGGGUGCUAUAGCGCUGGGGUCUGCCCCGGCUUCGAACCAUGGGACACCACUCCAGGCCUGGCCUACAAAGAUGCCGACCACGGCGGCCAUUGCCCACCGUCCGUGGAUGAGCUCAGCCUCUCUGUACCACUUUAGGAACCCUGGGUCCUUGCCUAGUCCUAGAGGGUCGAAACCGUAGUCACCUGGA